AAUCAACGCUGGCGGCGUGCCUAACACAUGCAAGUCGAACGCGAAAAUGGAGCAAUCCAUGAGUAGAGUGGCAAACGGGUGAGUAACACGUGGGUGACCUGCCUUCGAGUGGGGGAUAACGUCCCGAAAGGGACGCUAAUACCGCAUAAUAUGCUGUCUUUUAAGAGAGAGACAUCAAAGCCGGGGACCGCAAGGCCUGGCGCUUGAAGAGGGGCCCGCGCCUGAUUAGCUAGUUGGUGGGGUAAUGGCUCACCAAGGCAACGAUCAGUAUCCGGCCUGAGAGGGCGGACGGACACACUGGGACUGAGACACGGCCCAGACUCCUACGGGAGGCAGCAGUGGGGAAUUGUUCGCAAUGGGCGCAAGCCUGACGACGCAACGCCGCGUGGAGGAUGAAGAUCUUCGGGUCGUAAACUCCUUUCGAUCGAGACGAAUGGCCCUUGGGAUAAUACCCUGAGGGAGUGACGGUACCGAGAGAAGAAG
rnacentral:rRNA from 1 species